rnacentral:rRNA from 1 species
CCUACGGGGGGCAGCAGUAGGGAAUCUUCCACAAUGGGCGAAAGCCUGAUGGAGCAACGCCGCGUGGGUGAAGAAGGUCUUCGGAUCGUAAAACCCUGUUGUUAGAGAAGAAAGUGCGUGAGAGUAACUGUUCACGUUUCGACGGUAUCUAACCAGACAGCCACGGCUAACUACGUGCCAGCAGCCGCGGUAAUACGUAGGUGGCAAGCGUUAUCCGGAUUUAUUGGGCGUAAAGGGAACGCAGGCGGUCUUUUAAGUCUGAUGUGAAAGCCUUCGGCUUAACCGGAGUAGUGCAUUGGAAACUGGGAGACUGGAGUGCAGAAGAGGAGAGUGGAACUCCAUGUGUAGCGGUGAAAUGCGUAGAUAUAUGGAAGAACACCAGUGGCGAAAGCGGCUCUCUGGUCUGUAACUGACGCUGAGGUUCGAAAGCGUGGGUAGCAAACAGGAUUAGAUACCCGUGUAGUC